rnacentral:rRNA from 1 species
GAUGAACGCUGGCGGCGUGCCUAAUACAUGCAAGUCGAGCGAACGGACGAGAAGCUUGCUUCUCUGAUGUUAGCGGCGGACGGGUGAGUAACACGUGGAUAACCUACCUAUAAGACUGGGAUAACUUCGGGAAACCGUAGCUAAUACCGGAUAAUAUUUUGAACCGCAUGGUUCAACAGUGAAAGACGGUCUUGCUGUCACUUAUAGAUGGAUCCGCGCUGCAUUAGCUAGUUGGUAAGGUAACGGCUUACCAAGGCAACGAUGCAUAGCCGAACUGAGAGGGUGAUCAGGCACACUGGAACUGGGACACGGUCCAGACUCCUAAGGGGGGCCGCAGUGGGGAAUAUUGCCCCAUGGGGGAAAGCCUGAACGGGCCAAGCCGCGUGUGUGGAGAAGGUCUUCGGGUUGUAAAACCCUUUUUGUUGGGGGAAAAGAUAGUUAAAAAAAACUUUGCUCUUUUGACGUUACCCAAAGAAGAAACCCCGGCUAACUUCGUG